UUAUUGAGGUUGAUCAAUUUUCAAAAUGUUUUAAAGGUACUAUUUCAAGAACGAUUGGUAUAAAGCUGUGAUUUGAACCCCAGAUUUCAGAGCAUUGUCCAUAGUAUAAUCCUGGGCGAUUAGAUGAUAGUGUAGCUUGGUUUAGGCGGCCAGGGAUUGCAUCGGUUUUUAAUCCUAGUGAGGGAACGGCUCACGAGUGUAGUACAUCUUCGGAUGAGAUUAAUAUAUGAAUUGGAAGUUCUAUUGGUAGAAUGACUCGGUUGUCAACUUCUAGCAGUCGUAGUUCACCUGGUUUUAAGUCAUUUGUUGGAAUUAUGUAUGAGUUGAAGCAUAAGUCUUCGUAGUCUGUGUAUUCAUAGCUUCAGUAUCAUUGAUGUCCUAUAGUUUUUAUGGUUAAGACAGGGUAGAUACGGAAGAGC